GUGUCAGCCGCCGCGGUAAUACAGAGGGGGCAAGCGUUAUUCGGAAUUAUUGGGCGUAAAGGGCGCGUAGGCGGCUUUGCCAGUGACGGGUGAAAUCCCUCGGCUUAACCGAGGAACUGCCUGUCAAACUGCAUGGCUUGAGACCGGGAGAGGUGAGUGGAAUUCCCAGUGUAGCGGUGAAAUGCGUAGAUAUUGGGAGGAACACCAGUGGCGAAGGCGGCUCACUGGACCGGAACUGACGCUGAAGCGCGAAAGCGUGGGGAGCAAACAGGAUUAGAUACCCUGGUAGUCC
rnacentral:rRNA from 1 species